GAUGAAAACUUUAAUUCUCAUAUUUGGCGCCCAGCUGGUGCCAGUAGCAGAGCCUGCCGUCCAGUCACAUCGGACAUUAUGUGGAAGGCAUUGUGCAGUAUACACCAAAACAUGGACAAGAUGAUGGUGAAACUGGACGUGACUGAAGCUGGAGAACUGGAGGUCAACUGGUGGUGGUAGAAGUAACAGAGGAGCUGUGGAACCACACACUUCACAGCAUUUUCCUACAGCCAACCUAAAGUUUCUAGAACUGUCAGCAUGAUGAGGAUCGCGAGGAGACCAGAAUGCCUGUACACCCUGAGGUGGUUGGAUAUGUACACACCAAAAACACUAUUUUAAGCAGCUCAGUACAACUAUGCUUGGUAGAGAAAACUGUUACUUGGUAAGAUGUUUUCUGUAUGUUGUGCAAUGAGCAGUAUGUAUCUAAGUGUGUGUGUGUAUAAAUAUAUCGCUUACAGGUAGUACAGAAUUAUUACAGUACAGAAUACAAGUAUGACGGCUAUGUC